UAUAAAUAAUGCCCCUCAAGAAGCUUAUACACAACAAGUUCUAUAGGGUGUAUUUCGUAGGCAUUUUGCCAGGAAGUUGGUGGUCUUAUCAUGAAUUAAGGCGGAGUGGCUGGUGAGGUCGGGACAAGAGAGGAACUAAUGCUCUUACUAUAGCACCAACCAAAAGUAGAUUCUCGACAUCUCAGAACAGAAUGGGUUCCCUUGCUUUCCGGCCCUUCCUCUUUGAGCCCGACUCUUUUCAUUUGGAACAAGAAAAGGUACAAAUCAUAGGAUUGAUGAUCUCCUCGUACCCUGUGUGAAUAUUGAGGGAAACUUCGUGCACCGGACUGCCGAUUGGGUGAGUGAUUUCCAUGCUAUGCUUGACAAGUGAGCAGUCCUUUUGCUGUUAACCUUUGUCUCAUUGUCUGUUCGACCUUGAAAAUAUAAGUUCAUCAUCUACUCACAAACCCUAGCUACUUGGUUACUAUUAGUAACAAACACGUCUCAACCACUUACCACGAUAGUGAAGGAGGUGGGGGUGCAUCUUUAUAGCUUUCUUGAUUUUGCAUUUAAAGUUGUACUUAAAAAGUUUAAAUCUAUGAAUAUAGGCAUUGAAAUUCGAAACACAGGGGUAAAUAGUGCUACCUACAAACAAAUAUAUAUAUAUAACCAAACAUAUAAAGAGGUACUCCGAUCCCUUCUGUUUUAUGUAACGUAAGGUCAAACUAAUUAAUUUUCGAUGUAAAUUCAAACAUAGAAUUUUAAUAUUUGUUGAAAGGAUGUAUCCCCUUAGCAGAGGCCGCUCAAUAGUAUUGGGGGACUAAAGCCAAGACGUAAUAAGAGACCUUAAACUUGUUAAAUAAUUUUAGAUAUUUUUGUUGAAGUUUAUUUUUUAUUUUAUUUUUUGAGAUGCACUUUCAUCUUGACGAUGUAACCAAACCUCUUUAAUCUUUGUUGUAACAUUACUAACCUUUGAUAAGAUUUUAUUAAGUUUAAUUUUAAAUUUUUCUUUUCACAUGACCGUCAACAUAACUUACUAUAUAUAUAACACUGCCUCCCAAAGUAACAAUCAUGUAGAAAUUUUUAUUUACAAAGAUGAUAAAUAUUUUACGAUCUAAUUAGCUUGAAGCGUACCUAUAGAGAUCUUGAAAGCAGAUAUCUUACAAAGUUAGAGUUGUAAAUAAAAUUUAUUCAUAUGAGAGUAAGAAGAAUUAGAAAGUAACUACAGAUUAAAUUGCCUUUCACUUUUAUUUGAAUUUUCUCAACCAACUUCGAAAAAAGACAACAUAAAAUAUAAACCAAUGUUAUUAACGAUUGGUGACAAGGUAGCAAAACAUGGUUGAAAAUUUUUCUAUCAUUAUUUAGUAAUAAAUACAAUUAAUAUUUAAAUUACAGAGUAGCUUUUGGACCUCUAAUUUUGUGAGGCCUAAUGGUCGCUUUAGUGGCAUGGGGGUUAAGCCGCCUCUGCCCUUAGCUUAGCGGUGUUGUAAUAUUUUGAGAAAGGGGUAGGAGUGAGCCAUUUCUUCCUUUAUGCUAGUUGAAUUCAUAAACUAAUUCAUUUAUCCUAACGAUAAUUAACAACUAUACUGUCCCUGAUCGAAGAGAUAAUUAGCACAAAAAUGGCACAAGUAAUAGAAAAUUCGUUGUAUUUUUUAAAGAACUUUUUCUUGAAAGGAUAGGAAAGAGGUAAUUAAGCCACAAGGUCUUAGAAGUACAUAUAAAAAUGGAAACAUAACAUAGAAAAGGAUGUAUAUUAAAAUACUUACCCUUUUUGUUGGGUUUUCCCUUUCGUUUAUGUCUUCUGAUGAGUUUGGUAUAAGGGCAGCCCGGUGCACUAAGCUCCUGCUAUGCGCGGGGUUCAGGGAAGGGCCGCACCACAAGGGUCUAUAGUACGCAGUAUUACCCUGCAUUUGUGCAAGAGGUUGUUUUUGUAGCUUGAGCCGGUAACCUCUCGGUAUAAGGAAAAUCAUCAAAUGUCAUGCUUGUGGUCCAAGUUUGUAAGCUUAUGAACUUUUGAACCACCUCCCUCCUACCAAGAGAUUACCAGCUCAAACUAUAGAAACAACAUCUCGCGCAUGAAUACAAGGUAAGAUUGUGUACAUAAAAUUCAACAUGAACAUCCUUCCCAGGACCUCGCCAUAAAGAGAAUUUAUAUUAGUACAUCGGAUUACCUUUUUUUUUCCUUCCCUCUUAUUGGGUUUAAUAAAAGGCUCUAAUUCACUCUAUCGGUUAAUAAUUCAAAGAGUAAAAUCCAUAGCCAAAUUCUUGUCUCUUAGUGCACAUGCAACUUUUACAAUUUCUGACCAAAAGGUAAAUGCAACGUCUAAAAUUUGCUAUUGUACCUUCCAUUAGUAGAAAGAAAGUUAGUUAGAUUAUUAAAAUUUAUUCUAAAUCAUGUUUACAUAACUAAUAGCAUCAGGAAUAUAAUUACUCUCUGUCGACUAAUUAUGAUAAGGUCAUUUCAUAAAAAUAAGACUGAUGAAGAUACGAAACCACCUGUUAAAUCAUCACACACUUUGAAAAUGAAGAAUCUGAAAACUAGAAACCCACAUACUUGGCGUAUCACAUAUUUCUUGGGUACACUAGUAUCUAUUUUUCAAAUGCACUAAAGAGACAUAAUUUAAAUUAAUGUAUUUAACUUAUAUACAGCGUAAAAGUUCUGAUACUAUCAGUAUAUUUUAACAUGUUUUAGAAGUUAAUCUUUCUUAUUUUAAAAGUUAUUCAUCUCACUUUUUAUUGACGAUUACCUGUAGUUAUCAUUUAAGUAACCCGAUAGUGUAAAUAGUCACUUUAAACAUAAAAGAGGAAGAAGAUUAAGGAGAAAAUAGUCAAAUACUCCUAGCUAGCUAGUUGAUGCUUUCUUUACUAAGGUCGACCAGACAUUGAAUCUAAGGUGAAAACAAGUAAAGAGACUGCUGAUUUGUCAAGGUUUGCACUGAAAUCAACACCAAUGCUUGAAGCUCAGUGCCAGAAACUUAUGGUAGUUAGACUUUGACAUGGACUCCAUCAACAAGAAGAAGUUUUUUGUCUGUAUCUUUCUCUUUAUCAUUAUAUUUUUAACUUGUUAUAGUAGGUAUUUGUCGUAUUUUUGAGUUGCUAAUUUAUUUUUUUAUGGAUGAUUAUUGUAGUUAUAUAUUCAGUUUUCUAGACAAUCUUUAUGUACGUGGGACGACAUACAAAUAUCAAAAUUUCAUUGACAAUAAUGUUUAGUUUUCAAAAGUUCAAUAAUAACGUUUUAGCUUCUUCUGGA